ensembl:lncRNA
CCAUUCCAAAGUCAAGGCUCCCUCUGACAGUGAUUGAUGGCCACCCUCUUACAGGAAGAGUGACUAACUCUAACCUGUGAGUAUUGGAGGUGCUACAGAAUAUAUCUGCUGCACUAUUUAUUUUGGGAGGCGGACACAUGCCCACAUUUUUAUUCUUGGAAUAAACAUUCUGACAUUUUCUGGCAGGUGUGAAUGCUGUAGCAUACUAGCAAGAAGGAGAAAAAAAAAAAAGAAAGACAGCCUCUACCCUCUCUAAUGGAAACAAACUGAAUAUUGCCAACAUGAAAAUUGUAAACUCUCACCAGAUUCCAUAUGAUUUUUAUCACUUGAAAAGCCAGAUUUUGAUCCUGUGGGUCUCCUGGCAGACCAGUAUGAAAAUCCUUUUUUUUCAAUGGUGCCUACUUGCUUUUCUCAACCAAAUCCAAACCAGAAGACAACUGUGUAAUGAAUUAUGUAAAUUUUAAACAUCAGCCUGAUUACAGCCGACUCAUUUUGCCAAUAGUCUGAAAAGAUUAGCCCUGAUGUCAAAGUGACAGCAUGCAGAACCCUUCUCAAAACUCUCAGCUGUCAUCUCAUCAAAAGCACAUUGAAGUAGCAGGUCCGAUGUGAAGGGGUAAUUUCAUUUCUUAUUCAGUUUAAGGUCAAUUUUACACUGUGUUAUUCCAAAACUUGCCUAGAAAAUUAUAAAACUUUAAAAACAAAUAUUUAUGCAAACUUAUUAUAAUAACAGAUCCUUACACAUUAUUUGGCUGUAGUAUCUUAGAAGUUAAUAGUAUUUACAAAGAGAAAAUAUUUAAAGUCACAGGGCAUAUCAUUUUUAGCUUGGUUCCACAUAUCCAUAACUGUAGGCUAUAAUUAGUAACAAUUUUAAUUGUGAUUGGUCCAUAGGGAGACAGUUUGUAGCAAGUUCUGUAAAGUUUGCUAUCAUGGAAGAAAUAGUAUGGAAUAAUGUGGAAGAAAUAGGAGUCAGAAGAUACAGAUGCAACAACAGAGAAACUAUAAUAAAUAUCAGAUAUUUCAGUUGUGAAAAAUCACAGCUUAGAAAUUAAUCUGCCCCAUAUGAGUCUAGCAGCAUAAGUCAACAGUUACUCUUUUUGGACAAGUACAAGGAAAAGGUCAUGAAAGCAUUUCAGUGCAUUAACACUGCCAGAGGAACAGAGAAUCCUUGGAAUUCAAGGCUGAAGUGGAUACAGGAAGAUACAGGAGUCCAUCACUAACCUACUGCAGUGCGUCAGAUCUGAACAAGACAUUGGAACAAGUAAAGCAUGACUAUCACUUCAGCUUCUGUUUAUCUCCUCCUCAUUGGACCUUCCUGUGGACUUACCAGAACUCUAUCAAACAGUAUCACAAUAUCUACCUUUGCAUCCGGUAAAAGUGGGGGUCACAUUAAGACUGGCUGAAAUUCCAGCUUAUGAAAUAUACUGAGGUUUCAGAGCCUGUUCCAACAUGAACAAAACCAAUAUCAUCUGUAUUACAUGCAUGAAGAAACCAAACCUAUUCCAGGAGACCAAUAGGAAUUUUUUCUGUAACCUACAGAUUAGUAGCUCACCUUGGGAAAAAAGAGAGCCAUACUCAGCUCCCCUCAGAGAAUCAGGCAUUUGAAUUUGAGCUUAGCUCCUUCCAGAAUAUUCAAACAGAUGUGUCAUUUAACCUCCCUCACAAGACUGCACUUCCCAGGAUGGAGGAUGGUCCUGCUGUAUCUUGAACAUCCCCCUGGCUGCAGUGCAUAGCAAGAACAUAGCUCAGCUGGUAAAGCCAGCUGUGAGGAGGAGAAAUAGGGGAUAUUCCUUCCUAAUCCACUGUCUUAACUUAUUUUAACUAAAGUGUUCUGGUUUUGUUCAACAGUCCACAAGUUGCUCAAUUUGGACAUAUUUUAUCAGGGAAAAACAAAAAAGUUUGCUUUUUUGCUUAUAUUGUUAUAGAAAGACUAUCAUUUUAAAUAAAAGUCCGGGGUUUCAUGUAAGCAGUAAACCUACAAGUUUUCAGGAUGAGGAUCCUUAGCUUAUUCACUGAAAUGAAGACAAAAAUCUAUUUCAGGAGUUUCAAGAAUAAUUUUUUGAAACACACGUGUAUAUAGUAUAUAACUAUAUACUAUAACACAUAAAUCCAGUACAAGAAGUAGAAAAGUCUACUUUUGAAAACACUGUUUCAUUUAUCUGUGGUUUCAAGCAACAUAUUUGUCAGCAGAAAUAUGUCAUGAAUAGAUGCAGUUAACUCCAAACUAUAUUUCAUCUGUUGAAUACCAUUUGCUUUUGCAAGUAAGGGUAGGAAAUAUUUUUCCAUCUCUUAGAAAGGUCACAAUGCUUUGGACUUUGCAUAGUAGCAGAGACUGAAAGGAAUACUUUCACUUUUAAAGUUUUUUUAUUCAGCCUUUUCUUUUCCUCACAUUAACUUUACAACGCUGUUUUAACAGCUUUUCAAGAGUAUAUCCACAAGCACUAUUGCAGAAUUUUCAUGAAAUGAUUUUAAUAACUCGGUUUCUUCUUGGUUACCUUAGUAAACACAGAUAAAGAAGUAGCUCCUCUGCAGUACCGAAUAUUUUAUGCUUCUAAUUUCAAAAAACAAAAAACAGUUCAGAUUUCUUUGUAUCCAUACUUUAUGUAUAAACCGUAUCUUGAUGUCACAGAAUCACAGAGUUGUAGGAGUUGGGUGGGCUUCUGGGGAUCACCUAGUGCAAUUCCCCACUAAAGCAAUUUCCCUACAGUAGGCUGCACAGGAAAGUCCAGGUGGGUUUUGAAUAUCUCCAGAGAAGGAAACCCCACAACCUCUCUGGGCAGCCUGUUUCUUUGCAGUCACCUUCACAGUAAAGAUCUUCCUCACAUUUGUAUGGAACCUUCUGUGUUCCAGUUUGUGUCCACUACCCCUUAUUAUGUCUUUGGGCAUCACCAAACAGAGUCUAGCCCCAUCCUCUUGAUGUCCAUGCUUAAGAUAUGCUCUAGGCCCCUUAUCAUCUUUGUGGCUCUCUGCUGGACUCUCUCUAGAAGUUCUCUGUCUUUCUUCAACUGAGGAGCCCAGGACCGAAUGCAUUGCUCCAGAUGUGGCCUCACCAGGGCAGAGUAGAGGAGGAGGACCACCUCCCUCGACCAGCUGGCCACACUCUUUUUAAUGCACCUCAGGAUACCACUGGCCUUCGUGGCCACAAGGGCACACUGUUGGCUCAUGGCCAACCUGUUGUUAAACCAGGACACCCAGGUCCUUCUAAAGUAGGGUAUAAAUCUUUGAAGGCUUUUGUUGUUUUUGAUAUCUCCUGCUUCCUACAUUAUACAGUAAAUUAGUAGAAAUGAAUUUGAGUCAGCCAGUACAGUAGUAAAGUAGUGGUUAUUGGGUUGCCAAUGUGCAAAAGCUUUGGUUCCUAGGCCUCCAGCCAGCACAGACUAAACACAUUAAAGAGGUAACUUGCUCGUGAUUGAUGAAAGAUGGGAAGAAAUCACAAUAAUGUACUAUCUUGUGGGUUUGGUUAUUUUUUUCUUUGUUUGAAUUUCAUAUGCAAUUAGUGCAUCUCAAAAUACAGAGAUAGUACAUUACUUCCAUCCUAAACAACGUUCUAAAAUUGGACUGCAUGCAAAUCUUCUGCAUUUACGAUUAGCUCCCUUGCCUAGCACAUGGUAUCACUGCAUCAGUUCUAUUUUGUACUGCUGUACAUGGUGGUUUCCAAACUCCAAUUGCCACUUUUCAUGUAGAAGGAACUUGUGUUUUCCUUUGUUUGCAAGCCUAGCAUACACCUAUGUGUCCACAGUAACAGCAGCUGUGAUGGCCUCCAGCCAUCAGUCUCCUUGAUCACAAGAGAAGGUUUAUGAACUCUCUUGAAUUCAUACCCAUUCAAACUUAAACACGAAUUUAGUCUCAGCAAAGUCAGUGGUACUUCAGUGCAUAAAGAAAGUCAAGCACAGGUUUGGAAAAUAAAAAUGGUUUCAAGAAAAAAGCUGCACGGUUUCCUACCACCUUCUGCUUUGGUUCCCCAGCCUCCAACCAGGUGGGUCCAACAAUAGCCCAGGAUCUUCUGGCCAACUUUCGAUUCUUUCGCUUGAAGAAAGUUCACAUUUAUUUCAUUUUCAUUUCCAAAUCAGAAUAAGGUCUAUUUUGAAAUGGCAAAUUUCUACAUAAAAUGGAAUUUCCUUCUGUCCAGCUCUAGUAACGACUUAGAGUUGCAGUUUAAAUAAAAGAAAACUAACUGCCAUGUGUUAGCAACACGAAAGGGUCAAACUAGAAUUGAUGUUGCUUUGUGAUGCUCAAAUGGGUAGUAAAAUGCAAUUAUUUCCUUCUCAAAAUGCCAUGACUUUUUCCACUCAUUUAUAUAGUAUCCUAUUACAUGCUCUUUAAAUGUGCAGAGGAGAGGCAUUCCAGUGAAAUAUCCCUGCCAUGAGAUCCCAUGAAAACUCACACUUAUCUGCAAUAUAAAUAUUUCUCUCUCUUCUAGCUCAAAAUUUGGUUUAUCAGCUCUUUUUUCUUAAGAGCUCACAGAUUUUCUUUCCUACUUAAACUGAACUUAGGAAAUAUAUUUAAGCAGAGCUAUGAAGUACUCAAGAUUCAAGGUCACAUACCCCAGAAAGUGGGGAAACUAGUGCCACAUAUGAAGAAUGCCAAUGUGAUUAGCACUAAAGAGUGCCAAGCACACAAAUAUAAUAUGCACAAUGUGACAUCUCUAACACCAUAAUUAACUGAUGCUAUAAAACAGUCAUACUCCCCUCACACCCGUGCUGACCAAGGUGUAUAUAGCGCUGGAUGCCCAUGGCAUUGCUUUGAUAAGCAGACAUGCACACACUGAAUGGAAAGCGAGCAAAUGUUUUGUUCUCAGGGGAGACAAAAUCUCUCCACACAGUGCACUGCUCAGUGCCCGCAGUAUUUCCAGACCAGGCUCUUUAGGUGAAGGUGGCAUUAAGGUGAGAGACGUCCUGAGAAGAGAAGAAGGCGUGAUUAAUUCUGGAAUUGUGAUGCCAGCUUCUUGUGGUACUGUGACCUUUCCAAUUGAUUAAGGAAAAACAUUUAUGAAUGCAGGCAGUAGGAUAACAGAACUUCAUUUCCUUUCUCAGCUAACUGAUCAUGUAAAUGGAUUUCAAGACAGAUUAGAGGAAAUGAAUAUGUAUACCCUGCUAUCAGGCUGUUCUUUAUCUGAAAAAAAUGCAUUAGCAGGUUACAAAUACCAGCUCCUGUUCCUCUUGUUUCAUAUUGCUCACAAUAAGGCAGAGUUAGCUUUGAAUUGCUGCUUAACUCAACCCAACAUCUAGGUUGUGUACAAACAGCCUUUAAUUGAGAAAAAAGACUGUGAAGACUGCAGCAGUGUUUUGGUGUUAAAUCCUAGUUUUGGAGGGAGAGAGGAGGAAGAAGGGUGACGAUAGGGCCCCAGCUGUCUGCUAGUCAGACCUUGCCCAAAACCUUGUCUCCCAUCCUCCUGCACCUUGGGUCUCACUGCUGGGAGCCACUUCCACCCCCAGAGUUGGACUGCAGUAACAGUCCACAGUCACUGUGCUGACCCACAGAAGCCAACUGUGGGUCAGCACAAACCGUCUCGAUAAGAAGCUGCUGAGAGAUUUGCUAUCAUCUUCAGAAGAAACAAAACAAACUGAAAACAGCUUGGCUUUUGGGGUUCCAGUUAGUCCUAUUUUGCAUACUUUUUGUACGUAUGAGGCAAGCCGUUCAGUUCCAUCAUGUUUCUGAUAAUAUUUCUUAUCCUUUACUUUGCAGUUUUACCCUUUCAUUCCCCAUCCCAACCUGCUUAAGUAGUUACUCCUUUCUGAUAACAUUACUACACUAUUCACAUUUAAAUGCUUUUGCUCCCUCCUCCUUCCAUAAAUGAUUUUCUCAAGGUGUGUGUAUUAAAUUGUAUUAACUUGCCUCAUUUGUUCACAUGCUGCUAUUCUUUUAAUAAAUUCUUUGCAUUCAGUUUUGUUCCCAUAGUAUUGAAAUACAUAUAGAUACAAAUAAACAUCUGUACAUUUAUUAUUUUUUUAAAAGCUUACAUUUGUAAUCCUCAUGCUGAAGAACUGAAAAGGCUUUGUGUUGAAGUUUGGUGAGACACUGAUCUCAGCUAUGCCAUUCCGUAUCCUGAAGAAAUCACUGCUUUAACAACAGCACAUGUCUCAUGGCUGAUUUGUCCUGCAAGAGUCUUACCUGUGCUACCACUCUCUGCUUACCUCCGUGGGCUAUAUACCUUUAAUGAAGCACUGG